rfam:Pseudonocardia dioxanivorans CB1190, complete genome.
GGAGGAUUCGCCUAGUGGCCUAGGGCGCACGCUUGGAAAGCGUGUUGGGAGCAAUCCCUCAGGGGUUCGAAUCCCCUAUCCUCCG